UCUGGUUCAGGAUGAACGCUGACAGAAUGCUUAACACAUGCAAGUCUACUUGAUCCUCGGGUGAAGGUGGCGGACGGGUGAGUAACGCGUAAAGAACUUGCCUUACAGACUGGGACAACAUUUGGAAACGAAUGCUAAUACCGGAUAUUAUGAUUGGGUCGCAUGAUCUGGUUAUGAAAGCUAUAUGCGCUGUGAGAGAGCUUUGCGUCCCAUUAGUUAGUUGGUGAGGUAACGGCUCACCAAGACGAUGAUGGGUAGCCGGCCUGAGAGGGUGAACGGCCACAAGGGGACUGAGACACGGCCCUUACUCCUACGGGAGGCAGCAGUGGGGAAUAUUGGACAAUGGACCAAAAGUCUGAUCCAGCAAAUUCUGUGUGCACGAUGAAGUUUUUCGGAAUGUAAAGUGCUUUCAGUUGGGAAGAAGUCAGUGACGGUACCAACAGAAGAAGCGACGGCUAAAUACGUGCCAGCCGCAGC
rnacentral:rRNA from 1 species